UUACUUUAUUUAUUUAUAUAUUCUGUUCCCUAGUGUGUGCUGCGGAGUGACGUUGUCCGUCAAAGAAGCCCUGAAGGACCCCAUGACGUUGAAUAGGAUAUUAAUGAGCCCAGGGACAUUCAAGUUCGACAAACCAGUGACAGUCGUCAUAACAGGGGAACACUGGCCGACCCACAUCAUACUCAAUGAACGCAACGAGGUCAGCGGUUCCAUGGGAAGUUUACUGAACGCGCUUUCCAGGAAUCUGAAUUUCUCGUACAAGAUAGUUCGACCCGAGGACGGCUUUUGGGGUUCCAUCAAUGAGGACGGGUCCUGGUCGGGCAUGGUCGGGAUGGUUCAUCGCCACGAGGCGGAUAUGGCCCUAGGUCCACAUGACAUCACGCUCAUUAGAACGACGGCCAUCGACUACACUUCCCCGAUAUUCACCGACGCCAGGCAGUUCAUUUUAGCCCAGAAUCGAGCCGAGGUCGAUCCCUGGGGGUUCAUGCUCCCCCUCACACCCACCGUCUGGAUAGGGGCCGUCAUAGCCCUCUUGGUCAUUAGCAUGGUGACUGUCGCCAUCGGACGAAAUCACCAAGGAGACCCAACGCCCGUCUUCGCUAUGGCGGUCUUCUUCCACACCUACAGGA